GAUGAACGCUAGCGGCAGGCCUAACACAUGCAAGUCGAGGGGUAACAGAGGUAGCUUGCUACCUGCUGACGACCGGCGCACGGGUGCGUAACGCGUAUACAAUCUACCUUUUGCUGAGGGAUAGCCCAGAGAAAUUUGGAUUAACACCUCAUGGUAUGUAAAGAUGGCAUCAUUUCUACAUUAAAGGUUACGGCAAAAGAUGAGUAUGCGUCCUAUUAGCUAGAUGGUAAGGUAACGGCUUACCAUGGCAACGAUAGGUAGGGGCCCUGAGAGGGGGAUCCCCCACACUGGUACUGAGACACGGACCAGACUCCUACGGGAGGCAGCAGUGAGGAAUAUUGGACAAUGGAGGAAACUCUGAUCCAGCCAUGCCGCGUGCAGGAAGACUGCCCUAUGGGUUGUAAACUGCUUUUAUACGGGAAGAAACCCACCUACGUGUAGGUGGCUGACGGUACCGUAAGAAUAAGGAUCGGCUAACUCCG
rnacentral:rRNA from 1 species